rnacentral:rRNA from 1 species
GAUGAACGCUGGCGGCGUGCCUAAUACAUGCAAGUCGAGCGAACAGGCGAGGAGCUUGCUCCUCUGACGUUAGCGGCGGACGGGUGAGUAACACGUGGAUAACCUACCUAUAAGACUGGGAUCACUUCGGGAAACCGGAUCUAAUACCGGAUAAUAUAUUGAACCGCAUGGUUCAUUAGUGAAAGACGGUUUUGCUGUCACUUAUAGAUGGAUCCGCGCCGCAUUAGCUAGUUGGUAAGGUAACGGCUUACCAAGGCAACGAUGCGUAGCCGACCUGAGAGGGUGAUCGGCCACACUGGAACUGAGACACGGUCCAGACUCCUACGGGAGGCAGCAGUAGGGAAUCUUCCGCAAUGGGCGAAAGCCUGACGGAGCAACGCCGCGUGAGUGAUGAAGGUCUUCGGAUCGUAAAACUCUGUUAUUAGGGAAGAACAAAUGUGUAAGUAACUAUGCACGUCUUGACGGUACCUAAUCAGAAAGCCACGGCUAACUACGUG